rnacentral:tRNA from 1 species
GACCGCGUAGCUCAGUUGGCAGAGCGUUGGGCUAAUAUUCCAAAGGUCGUAGGUUCGAUUCCCACCGUGCCCA